GGAAUGUAUGCCUGGCCCCAAACAUAGCUUCCUCCUUAGCAGGACACAAACAAAGCAGCUAAAGAUGGAGGUUAAGGCCAGUCGACUGCUUCCAGGGGUUGAUCCCUCUGAAACAUCUUGCAACCAAAACUCCAUCUUGGCGUCUGCUUCCUUCUGAAGAACUCAACCUGGGACACAGUAAGAGGACAGAUCACCUACCUGUGAGGACCCCUGUGAUUCAGUCUGCCUUUCCCUGGCCACGACCCCAUCCUUGCCCCUGUCUGAUGUCCAAGCUGCCCCUGCUGAGACAGACCUGGCCUCUUCUGGACAGCUCCAGUCACAUAAGGACUCCAUAGCUUGUGUGGGCUCAGAGCACUUUGGCUGCAGAGAGGAAAGUCUUUACCACUGGGCAGGACUCACUAGUUCGUGAUGAAGAUGGUGACACGCCCACCUGGAGAGAUGUACACGGUUUCCUUGGAGGAAGCCCACGGCCUGGAGUGAAUCACUCAAGCAGAGUGUUCGCUGGGUGACUGGUGUCCCAUGAGGGCACCAGGCGGAUCACAUUGAAUAUAAAAGAUGCUCCUUGGGGGCCCUCUUAGCUCUUGCCACAUGGAACCCUGAGAAGGGCAGGGCACCUUGGGCUGGAAGGAAGAUGCUGUCAGGGCGUGCACUUGUAGAAGAGGAGAGGCGCCACCAGGCAAUUCCUGGGAUUGCAUGGUUUGCUGAGAGAAUUGGGGCCGGGGACCUCGGGAGCCGUCACGCUUGUGUGGUCCUAGACAUUCUCAAUCACUCCCACCCUCGCCCUAAAACUUAGUCGGGAUGCCCUUUUCUCUCUACGUGGGGACCCUGCUCUAGGGAAGAAGCUGUAGGGGGCUGGUGUGGCCGGGCUGUUUCUGCCUGUCUGCAUCUUACAUUUUACUUCUGGCAGGCACUUUUCCCAGGGACUGGAACUUCAGCCUCACUCCCUAAAUUCUCAAUUCUCCCAGAAUCCCCAGCAACCAACCAAGGGGAGCUCCAGGGGCUGAGGGUCAGUGAGGCACAAAUGGCAGGUGGAUGGCAGGAUUCCUGGGUGUCCCAACCCACACCGCACCCAUGUGGCCCUUGGGUCUCAGCACCUGCAUACCCUGGCCAGCGUGGGGCCAGUGUGGGACCAGCAUGGGGCCAGUGGGAACACAGCAGCAGGCCCAGUGCUUACUCCAACCUCAGGACUGGGCCUGGGGAGUGGCAGGUUGGACUCCUCCAGGAGGCACAGCACCUAGAACCCAUGGUGCUUUCAGGGCAUUGAAUAAAAAAUGUUUUCAUCCAAUUAAAACAGGAAGAGGCCAGGCCCAAAGGCCUGUAAUCUCAGCAUUCUGAGAGGCCAAGACAGGAGGAUUGCUUGAGGCCAGGAGCUCAAGAUCAGCCUGGGCAAUAUAGGGAGACCUCAUCUUUACCAAUAAAUAAAUAAAUAAAUAAAAUGGGAAGAAAAAAAUAAAUUUUUAGAAUCAAAGAUGUGGUUUGUCAUUACAUCCAUGUGGUUGUAAAAUACAAGUUUGAGUUUUUGUUUUUCGGAGGAGGAAGAGGCUCACAAAGACUAAAGUGCUUAGGGCCUUGUAAGAGGGGGCACAUGGCCAGGGCUCAGUGGUUGGGGUAGGGGUCUCUGGAGCCUGGAGGUGGCCUCAGAGCUAAGGGACAGGUGCCCCCAUGAAACACCCCAAG
rnacentral:lncRNA from 1 species